CCCAAAGCUCUGCCGCAGAAAGACAGUACUGAAUAGCUUUUAUAAUCUUUUCUUCUUAUCCUUUUCUUUCAAAUCAAGUCAAGCAGAAUAUAGUUAAAGGCUUAAUUUUCACUGAAAUCUUCCCUGUGAAAUUAGACCUUCUGAAUCCAGCUUUUCCCAGCCAUCUUUUCUUUUUUUAAAAAACAUGAAUAUGAAGCAAAGAAUUCUUACAGAACAUGAGCUUGCAUUACCCUCAAACCAAGAGAAAGUUCGAGUAGGGGAGCAAUGGGAAGUAGUUUCUUCAUUAUUUUACGAAGUUUUUAAUGAAGAGAAAGUAACCUUGAAAAACAACUUGGCAAUGCAUUCCCAGAAGAGAUUUAACUCUGCUUUGCAAACUCUUUUACUGAGUAUUUUAAAGCUUGUCAUAGACAGAUUUUUCAAUGACGAUUUUAAUCUCCUUUUUCAGUUCUCAGAAGUGGGGCAAGAGGAAAGAUGAGUUGGGCAUGCUUCUACCUAGAAGAGAAGGAAACAACUCAGAUAAAUCAUUUGCCCUUCAGGUAAGAACUGAAAGCAGAUGUCUUAAGAAUAAUCUAAAGUAUUAUUUUGGCCACUGUGUUUACAAUUUUUAAAUUUUUCUUAUUAUGUUUUAAUUUGUCACAGAAACAAGAUAAUGGGUUCUGGAGCUUUAACAAAAUCCAAUUUGGCAGAAAGAAAGGAAAGAAGGAAGAAAGAAGAAGAAAAAGAAAAGAAAAAAAAAGGAAAAGACUGACAUAAUAUCAUCGGUCUAUCCAGAGUUGACAAUUGACAUAUUUAAAAUAGAUGCAUAUCCAAAUUACUUUUUCUUUAAAAAAAAAGCGCUUUAGUUUUUAUUGUCAUAAUGUGGGAUUUAAAAAAAAUGAAACCGAAAAUAUAUCCAGUGGCUUUGUACUGACAUAGUUUAUACAAUUGUCUGCAUCUUCUGUUUGUUCUUUGCUUCAAAAUGGGAAUUCCACUGAAAUUGCAGUGUAGAAGAUAUCAAAGCACAUGUAAAAUUCCUUUGCCUUUUUCUUUGCUAGGUCAGAAUGCUGCUCACAUCCAUGGCAAAGUAGAUUUUGAUGCUCCUUAGCUGCACACAUUGCCGGCUGUACCACUUUUUCUGCCAAGUAAAAGCAUGGCUUUUAGUUCUGUCCGCUUUCCAAGGGAACACAUUUUUAAUGAAAUGUCAUUUAGGAGUAUUUGUUACUUCCUGUAAAGGCUUCUUUCAUGGUUUUGUGUGUGUGAAGAAAAAAAAAAAUCAGCCUCUUAAAAUGUUGUAGUUGUAACUGUUCCCAGUACUCAGAACACUAGAGAGGGGAAAAAAAGAAACCCCAGUUCUCACAGAUGUAUCAGAUGUUUUCAAUAAUGGAUUGAAAAAGCAUGUGUUCCGCACACUGCUAGCGUCUCUGAGAUUAUUAUAAAGCAAGUUUAUCACUGCCGAUUUCCA
rnacentral:lncRNA from 1 species